UCCUCACAUGUGGACAUGCAGAGGCCUUGGCCUUUCUUGGAUGCGGGAUGUACAACCCUUCCAGGUGUAGAGGGUGCAAGAAAUCCCUACCUAAGGGUAGGCCUCGCACCCUCCCCACCCCAAUCCCUCUCCCGGGAAAGACCCUGGGCCAGCUACUCCUUCAGCCCCACUCCCGCCCCGCGCCGGCACCAGAGGCGGGCAGGUCGCCACCCCAGCACACCACCGGUGGUGCGGGAAUCGGGGCUCGGCCAGCCAAUUGAGUGGCGGCAGCGGCGCGAGGAUAGCUCCGCCCCCGGACCGCAGGCCGCCGGCCUCCCAAGAGGCGGGGCUCUUCGCUGUUUUUGCUGGCGACCGAGCCCGGCCGAGCCCAACCGAACGCAGCCGAGCUCAGCCGAACGCAGCCGAGCUCAGCCGAACGCAGCCGAGCCCAGCCGAACCCCGCGCAGCUCCCGCCGCCGCCGCCCGAGCGCUGCCGAGCGAGCGAGCAGCCGCGGCCGCGGGGGAGGUGCGGCCCCAAGGGGAGGAGGUGCCCGCUCGCCGCAGACCGCCCGCGGCAGAGGCCGCCCCGGUCGCGCCGCGGCGGGAGCGGCCGGCGGAGGCUGCGCGGCAGAGGGGGAGGGCCAGGGGAGCGGACGUCGCCUCUGCUGGCCUCCCGCCUCUCGCCGCCCCCCGCCCGCAGGCUCCUGAGCCUUAGUCGGCGCCGAGCAUCCCGCUGCCCCGGACCCUCCCGCGGGCGCGCACCAGGCUCAACUCAGGCUCAGGACAGCAGGUAGACAUCUCCACUGCCCAGGAAUCACGCAGACAGCACAGCCUCCUCGGAAGGCCAGCCAUACCAGAGUCCUGCCUCGGCAUGGGCCUCACCAUCCAGGCAGCUCCACUGUCUGUGCUAGUCUGAGGGUGCCCGUCAUGGGGGCAGCCAUCUCCCAGGGGGCCCUCAUCGCCAUUGUCUGCAACGGGCUUGUAGGCCUCUUGCUGCUGCUGCUCUGGGUCAUCCUCUGCUGGGCCUGCCAUUCUCGCUCUGCCGAUGUUGACUCUCUCUCUGAAUCCAGUCCCAACUCCAGCCCUGGCCCCUGUCCUGAGAAGGCACCACCACCCCAGAAGCCCAGCCAUGAAGGCAGCUACCUGCUGCAGCCCUGAAGGCCCCUGGCCUAACCUGGAGCCCCGGACCUAAGUCCACCUCACCCAGAGCCUGGAAUUAGGAUCCCAGAGUUCAGCCGGCUGGGGGUCCACAACUCAGUCUGCCUGCUUGGAGCUGGACCCAGCAGUCUAGAGUCUAGCCAGCCUGGCCCCAAGAGGAGCUCAGUGGACUUAAGAAGAUGGGCCUGGGAUGGGGGCUUAUGAGUUGGUGCUAGGGCCAGGGCCAUCUGGACUAUGCUCCAUCCCAAGGGCCAAGUGCCAGAAGCCGAGUUCACUCUUUCCCUAGGCUAAGCACCUCUAGGCCCUCUAGGUUGGGGAAGCAAACUGGAACCCAUGGCAAUAAUAGGAGGGUGUCCAGGCAGGGCCCCUCCCCUGGUCCUCCCACUGUUUGCCGGAUAAUAAAUGGAACUAUGGCUCUA